UCUUGAUCUUGGUGAGGCCUUCGACCAAGGCGCCGAUAUCCUCGCCGAAGAGGUCGUCUAUCUCCUGCCGCGUCGCGGUCGUAUCCUCGAUCGUGUCGUGCAGCAGCGCGACGGCGAUCGUGGAU
rnacentral:sRNA from 1 species